CCUACGGGUGGCAGCAGUGAGGAAUAUUGGUCAAUGGACGCAAGUCUGAACCAGCCAUGCCGCGUGCAGGAAGACGGCUCUAUGAGUUGUAAACUGCUUUUGUACGAGGGUAAACGCAGAUACGCGUAUCUGUCUGAAAGUAUCGUACGAAUAAGGAUCGGCCAACUCCGUGCCAGCAGCAGCGGUAAUACGGAGGAUUCAAGCGUUAUCCGGAUUUAUUGGGUUUAAAGGGUGCGUAGGCGGUCGGAUAAGUUAGAGGUGAAAUCCCGAGGCUCAACUUCGGAAUUGCCUCUGAUACUGUUCGGCGAGAGAGUAGUUGCGGUAGGCGGAAUGUAUGGUGUAGCGGUGAAAUGCUUAGAGAUCAGACAGAACACCGAUGGCGAAGGCAGCUUACCAAGCUACUUCUGACGUUGAGGCACGAAAGCGUGGGGAGCAAACAGGAUUAGAUACCCGGGUAGUC
rnacentral:rRNA from 1 species